rnacentral:rRNA from 1 species
UGUCCAGACUCCUACGGGAGGCAGCAGUGGGGAAUAUUGCACAGUGGGGGAAACCCUGAUGCAGCGACGCCGCGUGAGUGAAGAAGUAUUUCGGUAUGUAAAGCUCUAUCAGCAGGGAAGAAAUAGCGACCUUUGGGUCGCCAGACGGUACCUGACUAAGAAGCCCCGGCUAACUCCGUGCCAGCAGCCGCGGUAAUACGGAGGAUGCGAGCGUUAUCCGGAUUUAUUGGGUUUAAAGGGUGCGCAGGCGGAUUUUUAAGUCAGCGGUCAAAUCGUGGGGCUCAACCCCAUCCAGCCGUUGAAACUGGGGAUCUAGAGUGUGCGAGAGGUAUGCGGAAUGCGUGGUGUAGCGGUGAAAUGCAUAGAUAUCACGCAGAACCCCGAUUGCGAAGGCAGCAUACCGGUGCACAACUGACGCUCAGGCACGAAAGCGUGGGUAUCGAACAGGAUUAGAUACCCUAGUAGAC